rnacentral:rRNA from 1 species
UACAGAGGUCUCAAGCGUUGUUCGGAUUCAUUGGGCGUAAAGGGUGCGUAGGUGGCGCCGUAAGUCAGGUGUGAAAUUUCGGAGCUUAACUCCGAAACUGCAUUUGAUACUGCGGUGCUUGAGGACUGGGAGAGGAGACUGGAAUUUACGGUGUAGCAGUGAAAUGCGUAGAGAUCGUAAGGAAGACCAGUGGCGAAGGCGGGUCUCUGGACAGUUCCUGACACUGAGGCACGGAAGGCCAGGGGAGCAAACGGG